GGAGCAGUAUCAGAUCCCAUCUGCAAUUUGGAAAGCUUUUGUCGAUGAGAGGCUACAUCCAUCUUGGGAGGUCACUCAUGAAAAACAAAAGGAACGGACGAGCCAUUGCAAGUAUCAUCACAAAAUGUCUCGCAAGGGUUACAUUGGCUUGGAGACUGAAUUGAGGCAGAGAAAAAUAUUCAGGGAGGAUGAGGAAGUUGAUAGGUCAUUACUUUGGCGUAAGGCCCGCGAGGA